GUACGUGAAACCGUUCAGGGGUAAACGGGAGACAUCCUGAAUUCGAAAGGGUUUGGAUUCAGGCCCGUCCGGCUUUAGUCCGCUUCUUCCCGCCAGAUGGUGCCGGUCGCCCGCGGCGAUUCAUUUCGCUUGCGGUGCUGUUCCCGGCGAUCACUCGGCGGGGUUGCUGUUUGCCUGAUGCCGGAGAGCCGCACUUCCUCCCUAGUAGAAACGUUGCGACCCGUUGGGUGCCGGUCCAAGGCCUGGGAUGGCAGACCGCGCGACCGAUAGCUGGUGCCGAAGUCGCGCGGACACUCGGUGACCUGACCGGCUGCCCGACGGUAUGACCAGAGGAGUCGAUCCGCUAAUUGUGAAACACUGUGGUUGUGAAGCGUCUGGCUCGGCGCCGACGCGUGCGGGUAACAAAGGUGCGAGCUGGGGGUGCACCGUGCUGAGCACGGCCCCCAACCCGUUGCGCUGUCGGACGUCGGUGACUCGGACCGGAUGAGUACUCCCGUCUGCGACGCCCAUCUUCGGAUG
rnacentral:rRNA from 1 species